GGGGUUAUAGGGUCAGGAUGGGGUUAUAGGGUCAGCAUUGGGGUUAUAGGGUCAGCAUUGGGGUUAUAGGGUCAGCAUUGGGGUUAUAGGGUCAGCAUUGGGGUUAUAGGGUCAGGAUGGGGGUUAUAGGGUCAGCAUUGGGGUUAUAGGGUCAGCAUUGGGGUUAUAGGGUCAGGAUGGGGGUUAUAGGGUCAGCAUUGGGGUUAUAGGGUCAGCAUUGGGGUUAUAGGGUCAGGAUGGGGGUUAUAGGGUCAGCAUUGGG